GACGAACGCUGGCGGCGUGCUUAACACAUGCAAGUCGAACGGAAAGGCCCUGCUUUUGUGGGGUGCUCGAGUGGCGAACGGGUGAGUAACACGUGAGUAACCUGCCCUUGACUUUGGGAUAACUUCAGGAAACUGGGGCUAAUACCGGAUAGGAGCUCCUGCUGCAUGGUGGGGGUUGGAAAGUUUCGGGGGUUGGGGAUGGACUCGCGGCUUAUCAGCUUGUUGGUGGGGUAGUGGCUUACCAAGGCUUUGACGGGUAGCCGGCCUGAGAGGGUGGCGGGCUCUGUGGGGCGUGGGUAUGGGCCCAACCGCGGAGGGUGGGAAGCAGGGGGAAAUUUAGGAAAUUGGGGGGAGGCUUAAAGAGGCAGCGCGGCUGGCGGGAUACCGGCCUUGGGGUGGCAACCGCUUUCGCCUGUAACGAAGCGUGAGUGACGGUAAUGGGUAAAGAAGCACCGGCUAACUACGUG
rnacentral:rRNA from 1 species